rnacentral:tRNA from 1 species
GCUCGAGUAGCUCAAUCGGUAGAGCAACUGAUUUGUAAUCAGUAGGUUGCGGGUUCAAGUCCCAUCUCGAGCUCCA